GGGCGAUUAACUCAGCGGUAGAGUGUCUCGUUUACACCGAGAAGGCCGGCAGUUCGAUCCUGUCAUCGCCCA
rnacentral:tRNA from 1 species